rnacentral:rRNA from 1 species
UACAGAGGCCUCAAGCGUUAUCCGGAAUCAUUGGGCGUAAAGCGUACCGAUAGGUGGUUUUACAAGUCAGAGGUGAAAUCCCAAGGCUCAACUUUUGGGACUGUCCUUUGAAACUGUACAACUAGAGGGGCAAAGAGGAAGCUGGAACGAACGGUGUAGUAGUGAAAUGCGUUGAUAUCGUUCGGAACACCAAUAGCGUAGGCAGGCUUCUGGGUGCCACCUGACACUGCUAGGACGAAAGCGUGGGGAGCGAAUGGG